AAGUCUUGUCGAAUAAAUUGAAUUUUUACAUUUCAGUGAAAAUAGUCCGGCUAUAUAAAAGCGCUUGUCCUCCUCCACGUAGAUCUUUCCAGUCGCAUGUUGAAGUUGGAGAAGGAUCAUGUCUAGCCACUCUCCUGAUUAUAACAGGCUGCAUCAUCGCCCAAGCACGGGCAAGACUGCCAUGUUUGCCAUCUCUAUCCUGCAGAAUUGGGCCCAGGUUCUGGUGCUGGCCCCCACCACAGAGCUGUCUCAGCAGGUAUGCUGUGCCUGAGGUCUGGAUAAACGUACAUGUUUAUCAGACUGAGGCGGCAUAUUUGGACAAUCUACAACUAAAGAUCCAGAAGGGACUACAUGGGGGUGGCCUGCCAUGCCUAAGUUGGGCACUAAUGUCUGCAAAGAUGCAGAAGCUGCAGACUGGGUCCCCCCGCAUAGUGGUAGGAACUCCAGGCUGGAUGUUUGAUGCUUAACAGGUGAUGGCCUGUAAGUACUCAUCAGUGUGGUCCUGUCAGCCACCAUGCCUACUGAUGUGCUGGGAGUGACCAGGAAGUUCAUGCGAGAGCCCAUUGGCAUUCUGGUGAAAUAAAAGGAAUUUCCCUAGAGGGUAUUAAGCAGUUCUACAUCAAUGUAGAGAGGAGUGGAAGUUGGACACAUUGUGCAACCUGUACGGGAUGCCAACACUCACUCAGGCAGACAUCUUCCUCAACACCAGGAGGAUCUGCUGGCUGACCGAGAAGAUGCACUCAAGGGGCUUCACGAUUUCUGCUCUGCAUGGCGACAUGGACCAGAAGGAGAGGGAUGUCAUCACGAGGGAGUUAAGGUCUGGCUCAAGCAGAAUACUCAUCGCUACGGACUUAUUGGCUCGGAAUUGAUGUGCAGCAGGUUCCUUGGUCACCUUCCUACAAGGAGGGAGAAUAAUAUUCGCAGAAUUGGUCGUGGUGGCUGUUGGCAGGAAAGGUGUGGCUGUAAACUGAGCGAGGAUGAGAAGUGUGUUCUUCGGGACAUCAAGAUGUUUCACAAUACAACAGUGGAUGAGAUGCCUUUUGAAUGUGGCUGACCUGAUUUGAACCUGGGUGUUGAGGAUGUUGAAUCAUUGCUAGCGGUCUUACACUCAUUGUGUUCAUUUGAGCAUUGAGGUAAGUUUGUCUAUCUUGAAUCAGACUUCUGAUAUUUGUAAGAUAUGGUGGUCUCAUGGACAGGUUAGAAUCAACAACUGUCCAUGAGACCAAGUCUGAUUCAAGAUAGGCACGCUUACCUCAAUGCUCCGGGCUACACAGCUGAUUAAAAUAACUAGUGGGGUUGCAGGCUGACUCAUUGUACAUGCUAAAACCAUCACAAGCCACAAUCUUUUUUUGUGUGUGCCAGCAAAGCCACAAACAAUACAUUACUUGUGCUCACACGGAGCCCACAAACUUAGGACACAACAGCAGAGCUUUUCACAAUGGGGUGAAUCCUUACGACUACUACACCUGGCUAUCAGCGGAGCCUUGUCUGACAGCAACAGUUAUAUCAGCCUCAUAUACUACCUUUUAAUAAAACAAAAUGAAACAUG